rnacentral:rRNA from 1 species
UUAAAUUGAAGAGUUUGAUCAUGGCUCAGAUUGAACGCUGGCGGCAGGCCUAACACAUGCAAGUCGAACGGUAACAGGAAGCAGCUUGCUUCUUUGCUGACGAGUGGCGGACGGGUGAGUAAUGUCUGGGAAACUGCCUGAUGGAGGGGGAUAACUACUGGAAACGGUAGCUAAUACCGCAUAACGUCGCAAGACCAAAGAGGGGGACCUUCGGGCCUCUUGCCAUCGGAUGUGCCCAGAUGGGAUUAGCUAGUAGGUGGGGUAACGGCUCACCUAGGCGACGAUCCCUAGCUGGUCUGAGAGGAUGACCAGCCACACUGGAACUGAGACACGGUCCAGACUCCUACGGGAGGCAGCAGUGGGGAAUAUUGCACAAUGGGCGCAAGCCUGAUGCAGCCAUGCCGCGUGUAUGAAGAAGGCCUUCGGGUUGUAAAGUACUUUCAGCGGGGAGGAAGGGAGUAAAGUUAAUACCUUUGCUCAUUGACGUUACC